rnacentral:rRNA from 1 species
AUUGAACGCUGGCGGCAGGCCUAACACAUGCAAGUCGAGCGGCAGCGGGAAAGUAGCUUGCUACUUUUGCCGGCGAGCGGCGGACGGGUGAGUAAUGCCUGGGGAUCUGCCCAGUCGAGGGGGAUAACUACUGGAAACGGUAGCUAAUACCGCAUACGCCCUACGGGGGAAAGCAGGGGACCUUCGGGCCUUGCGCGAUUGGAUGAACCCAGGUGGGAUUAGCUAGUUGGUGAGGUAAUGGCUCACCAAGGCGACGAUCCCUAGCUGGUCUGAGAGGAUGACCAGCCACACUGGAACUGAGACACGGUCCAGACUCCUACGGGAGGCAGCAGUGGGGAACAUUGCACAAUGGGGGAAACCCUGAUGCAGCCAUGCCGCGUGUGUGAAGAAGGCCUUCGGGUUGUAAAGCACUUUCAGCGAGGAGGAAAGGUUGGUAGCUAAUAACUGCCAGCUGUGACGUUACUCGCAGAAGAAGCACCGGCUAACUCCGUGCCAGCCGCCGCGGUAACAC